rnacentral:rRNA from 1 species
CCUACGGGAGGCUGCAGUGGGGAAUAUUGGGCAAUGGGCGCAAGCCUGAUCCAGCGACGCCGCGUGAAGGAAGAAGGCUUUCGGGAUUUAAACCUCUUUUAAGGGGGACGAAAAAAUGACGGUACCUGAUGAAUAAGCACCGGCUAACUACGUACAAGCAGCCGCGGUAAUACGUAGGGUGCAAGCGUUAUCCGGAUUUAGUGGGUUGAAAGGGAGUGUAGGCGGGAGUGCAAGCCUGAUGUGAAAGCCCGGGGCUCAACCGUGGGACUGCAUUGGGAACUGGCUGGCUUGAGUGCGGGGGAGGUAGGCGGAAUUCGUGGUGUAGCGGUGAAAUGCGUAGAUAUUAGGAGGAACACCAGUGGCGAAGGCGGCAUACUGGACGGUGACUGACGCUGAGGCGCGAAAGCGUGGGGAGCGAACGGGAUUAGAUACCCGAGUAGUC